rnacentral:ncRNA from 1 species
UGAUAGCGAUGAAACGGAUGUUGCUGUCCAUGAGAGGCAGAUAUCUCCGCGGAGUGAAUGUCAUGUAAGGAUACCUGGCGACAA